UAAAAUGCUGACUAUAUAAAAAAUAAAUUCCCCACAUCGUUUUUGCGCCCCCUCUAGUGCAGCGCCCCUAUGCGUUGCAUACACUGCAUAGCCACCUUUUGCGCCACUGACUGUGGAGUCGAC